GUGUGUGUGUGUGUGUGUUGUGUGUGUGUGUGUGUGUGUGUGUGUGUGUGUGUGUGUGUGUGUGUGUGUGUUGGGAGAGUGAUGUUGGGACAUUCAAAAGCUGCCUUGGUUAUUGCUGUCUCAGCAUUACACAGGACAACAAGGAACUUGAAGGGGAAGGUGUCU